rnacentral:rRNA from 1 species
AGAGUUUGAUCCUGGCUCAGGACGAACGCUGGCGGCGUGCCUAAUACAUGCAAGUAGGACGCACAGUUUAUACCGUAGCUUGCUACACCAUAGACUGUGAGUUGCGAACGGGUGAGUAACGCGUAGGUAACCUACCUAUUAGAGGGGGAUAACUAUUGGAAACGAUAGCUAAUACCGCAUAACAGUAUGUAACACAUGUUAGAUGCUUGAAAGAUGCAAUUGCAUCGCUAGUAGAUGGACCUGCGUUGUAUUAGCUAGUAGGUAGGGUAAUGGCCUACCUAGGCAACGAUACAUAGCCGACCUGAGAGGGUGAUCGGCCACACUGGGACUGAGACACGGCCCAGACUCCUACGGGAGGCAGCAGUAGGGAAUCUUCGGCAAUGGGGGGAACCCUGACCGAGCAACGCCGCGUGAGUGAAGAAGGUUUUCGGAUCGUAAAGCUCUGUUGUUAAGGAAGAACGAGUGUGAGAAUGGAAAGUUCAUGCUGUGACGGUACUUAACCAGAAAGGGACGGCUAACUACGUGCCAGCAGCCGCGGUAAUACGUAGGUCCCGAGCGUUGUCCGGAUUUAUUGGGCGUAAAGCGAGCGCAGGCGGUUAGAAAAGUCUGAAGUGAAAGGCAGUGGCUCAACCAUUGUAGGCUUUGGAAACUGUUUAACUUGAGUGCAGAAGGGGAGAGUGGAAUUCCAUGUGUAGCGGUGAAAUGCGUAGAUAUAUGGAGGAACACCGGUGGCGAAAGCGGCUCUCUGGUCUGUAACUGACGCUGAGGCUCGAAAGCGUGGGGAGCGAACAGGAUUAGAUACCCUGGUAGUCCACGCCGUAAACGAUGAGUGCUAGGUGUUAGGUCCUUUCCGGGACUUAGUGCCGCAGCUAACGCAUUAAGCACUCCGCCUGGGGAGUACGACCGCAAGGUUGAAACUCAAAGGAAUUGACGGGGGCCCGCACAAGCGGUGGAGCAUGUGGUUUAAUUCGAAGCAACGCGAAGAACCUUACCAGGUCUUGACAUCCCAGUGACUGCCCUAGAGAUAGGGUUUCCCUUCGGGGCACUGGUGACAGGUGGUGCAUGGUUGUCGUCAGCUCGUGUCGUGAGAUGUUGGGUUAAGUCCCGCAACGAGCGCAACCCUUAUUGUUAGUUGC